rnacentral:rRNA from 1 species
UACGGGGGGGGCAAGCGUUGUUCGGAAUUACUGGGCGUAAAGGGCGCGUAGGCGGCUUUUCAAGUCGGGCGUGAAAUCUCCAGGCUUAACCUGGAAGGGUCGUUCGAUACUGUUAAGCUAGAGUGUGGAAGAGGCUACUGGAAUUCCGUGUGUAGCGGUGAAAUGCGUAGAUAUACGGAGGAACACCUGCGGCGAAGGCGGCGCUCUGGGCCGGAACUGACGCUGAGGAGCGAAAGCGUGGGUAGCAAACAGG